AUUGAACGCUGGCGGCAGGCCUAACACAUGCAAGUCGAACGGUAACAGGAAGCAGCUUGCUGCUUCGCUGACGAGUGGCGGACGGGUGAGUAAUGUCUGGGAAACUGCCUGAUGGAGGGGGAUAACUACUGGAAACGGUAGCUAAUACCGCAUAACGUCGCAAGACCAAAGCGGGGAACCUUAUGGCCUCUUGCCAUCGGAUGUGCCCAGAUGGGAUUAGCUAGUAGGUGGGGUAACGGCUCACCUAGGCGACGAUCCCUAGCUGGUCUGAGAGGAUGACCAGCCACACUGGAACUGAGACACGGUCCAGACUCCUACGGGAGGCAGCAGUGGGGAAUAUUGCACAAUGGGCGCAAGCCUGAUGCAGCCAUGCCGCGUGUAUGAAGAAGGCCUUCGGGUUGUAAAGUACUUUCAGCGGGGAGGAAGGGAGUAAAGUUAAUACCUUUGCUCAUUGACGUUACCCGCAGAAGAAGCACCGGCUAACUCCGUG
rnacentral:rRNA from 1 species